rnacentral:rRNA from 1 species
GACGAACGCUGGCGGCGUGCUUAACACAUGCAAGUCGAACGAAGUGGCGAACGGGUGAGGAAUACGAGGGUAACCUGCACUCCUUUUUGGGAUAAGCCUUGGAAACGUGAUCUAAUACCGACUAAAGGGGGAUGGGCUCGCGGCCUAUCAGCUUGUUGGUGGGGUGAUGGCCUACCAAGGCGGUGACGGGUAGCCGGCCUGUGAGGGUGACCGGACACAUUGGGACGGCUAGAAGGCCCAGAUGACUACGGGGGGGAGAAUGGGGGGAUAUUGCACAAUGGGCGAAAGCCUGAUGCAGCGACGCCGCGGGGGGGAUGAAGGCUUUCGAGUUGUAAAACUCUUUGGGUAUCGAACCGGGAGGUGGAGAAGAAGCGCCGGCUAACUACGUGCCAGCAGCCGCGGUAAUUC